GUCACCAAUAAAACGACACGAUGUAACCGGUUUGAGCCUUGAAGUGGGAAAUGAAUCUUCGUCUUCUGAUUUAUGGCAACUGCAUGGCCUACUACUCGUACUUUGACAGUAAGACAGUACAUAUAUGCACGUCAUCUGUAGGGAUGCUUUGAAGAGGAUUGGAAAAGGCUUUAUGGGUGCUGCGAGUCCCUGGAAAAUGUAGUGCUGGAAGUGACAAGUGUUGGAAAGCUUUCGGCAGACUCUUCAAGAUUAAAAACCAUAUUUUAUCCUUAGGAAAAUCGAACUUAAAUCAGCGCUCAAUCGGCACAUAUUAAGCUCUUAAAUGGCAGCGCACGGGGGAAACUUUUUCGUUAAGAUGGAGAGGCUCUAAGGAUCUGCUUGGAUUGCUAUUAAAUCAAAAUGCAAAGGAUUGCUGCGGACUGCACAGCUGCAACAAAUCAUAGCUCCCGAUCCGCCGAAAAUUCGAUUAUAAAAAUUAUAAAAGUGUCCACCCACAUGAACAUAAGUACACGGAAACAUGGACAUAUUUAUGUAUGUACAUAUGUAUGUGUGGCAUGCACGUGUACAUAUGUAUAUUGAACCGAAAUUGCGAGUUAAACAAAUUGGCUGUAGAUUCAUGUAUAAAUUAAGGAAGAGCCAGCAAACACGUCAACAGGCAUCUCCGCCUCCUCCUCCUCCUCCUCACCAUCGUCAUUGCCAUCAUCGUCAUCGUCACCGUCACCAGCCAUACAUACAUAUGUAUGUGUGUAUGUAAGCACCAGCAAUGACAUCCUUCUCUUCUCGUGAAACGUUUGAUAUGCAAAC